rnacentral:rRNA from 1 species
CCCUUAGAUGUUCUGGGCCGCACGCGCGCUACACUGAUGCAUUCAACGAGUCUAAAACCUGCUCUGAUAGGGGUGGGUAAUCUUUUGAAUGUGCAUCGUGAUUGGGAUAGAUGAUUGCAAUUUUUCAUCUUCAACGAGGAAUGCCUAGUAAACGCAAGUCAUCAGCUUGCAUUGAUUACGUCCCUGCCCUUUGUACACACCGCCCGUCGCUCCUACCGAUUGAAUGAUCCGAUGAAUAUCAUGGAUUGAGGAUGCAAGCAGGUUCGCCUGUCUUUAUCUUCGAGAAGUGAAGUAAAUCUUAUCAUUUAGAGGAAGGAGAAGUCGUAACA